rnacentral:lncRNA from 1 species
GAAAAUGACCCCAGGCAUACUUCCAAAGUUGUGGCACAAUGGCUUAAGGCCAACAAAGUCAAGGUAUUGGAGUGGCCAUCACAAAGCCCUGACCUCAAUCCUAUAGGAAAUUUGUGGCCAGAACUGAAAAAGCAUGUGCUUGCAAGGAGGCCUACAAACCUGACUCAGUUACACCAGCUCUGUCAAGAGGAAUGGGCCAAGAUUCACCCAAUUUAUUGUGGGAAGCUUGUGGAAGGGUACCCGAAAUGUUUGACCCACGUUAAAGAAUUUAAAGGCAAUGCUACCAAAUACUAAUGUAUGUAAACUUCUGACCCACUGGGAAUGUGAUGAAAUAAAUAAAAGCUGAAAUAAACCAUUCUCUCUACUAUUAUUCUGACAUUUCACAUUCUUAAAAUAAAGUGGUGAUCCUAACUGACCUAAGAGGGAUUAAAUGUUUAGGAUUAAAUGUCAGGAAUUGUGAAAAACUGAGUUUAAAUGUAUUUGGCUAAGGUGUAUGUAAACUUCCGACUUCAACUGUAUAUAAGGAAUAUGGUGCCAUUUGGAAUACAGAUAAAAUAUCUUGUAGUGAGUGAAAUACCUCCGCAGUCAGGUGUUCCUGUGUUUCUAUGAAUAAUCAGAGUACAUCUCCAUGGGGCUUCCACCAGUUCAGAUUGGGUUAGCAGGGGGGCUGCUAAUGACAGAUACACCUGGCCUCUUACUCUCUCUAUCGUCCAUUCCUUCUCCAUCUUUCUUUUCUUUCUUCCCUCACACUCUACAUCUUCCAUUCCUCUUUCUUCUCUACUCUCAAUCUCUCAUUCACCCAUGUGUGUGUGUGUGUGUGUGUGUGUGUGUGUGUGUGUGUGUGUGUGUGUGUGUGUGUGUGUGUGUGUGUGUGUGUGUGUGUGUGUGUGUGUGUGUGUGUGUGUGUGUGUGUGUGUACGUGUUUAACUAUACUUGUGGGGACCAGAAUAUUAAACGGACAAAAAUUUGACCAACUGGGGACAUUUUGUUAGUCUCCACAUGGUCAAAUGCUAUUUCUAGGGGGUUUAAGGUUAGGGCUAUGUGUUAGGGUAUGGAUUAGGGUUAGGGAAAAUAAUUUUGAAUGGGACUCAAUUGUGUGUCACCACAAGGUUAGUGUGUGUGUGUGUGUGUGUGUGUGUGUGUGUGCGUGUGCGUGUGCGUGUGUGUGUGUGUGUGUGCGUGUGCGUGCGUGAGAUGAGGUCCACAAAAAAGUUACCAGAGAGCGCCCAGUAUUUGUCUUUUACACCUUCCUAUUGUUCACUAGGUAGGAAACACACUAGGAUAAUACGUGAAUACAAAUCAUUCAUACUACACAUAUUCUCUGUGAUGUAAAGGUCCAAUGCAGCCCUUUCUAGCUAAAUAUCAAAUCAUUUCAGAGUAACAAUGAAGUAUCUUACAUUGAUUGUUUUCAAAUAAACACAACCACAUAGACACACACACACACACACACACACACACACACACACACACACACACACACACACACACACCUUCAUGUAGGGCUGUUGCGGUGACCGUAUUACCUCCACACCGGCGGUCACGAGUCAAGAAGGCAGUCAAAUUCCACGUGAGCGUUUAUUCGAGGUAAUUAGGCUUCUCCAAGCUCUGAUGCUGCUGAUGGUCAUUAGUACCUACCAAACUUGAUAACUUAAUUUUACAACAGGAGUAUAGCCUACCUGGCUGCCAUGAAAAUAAACCAUGUGGGUGACAAUAUUAGCCUUUCACUUGUGAAUUAUAUAUUAUAAUUUGUGAAUGAUGCCCAGCAUAAGAAACAUUUUCGAAUCAUAGUCGCACACCUCGUGUAGCUUAGCCCAUAGGCCUAUAUGUUUUAAAAAGGUUUGUUUCACAACUAAAUUGGCCAAAUAAUUGAAGCACGUUAAUCCUCUUUACAAGGGGUGUAGAGCCUAACUGGCAUAUAUAAACACCGCGUGAGUUUGGGGGAGUUAAUUUUCACCAUAAAAAUGCACCUUUAUAAUAAAGCAUUAAUUGCAUAAUUGCAUUUGCAGUUACUUUUGAUAAUGGUGUUUUCCGCUAAUGGAACAUUCACGCUUAUAGCCUACUACCAUGUGUGCAUUGCUGCACUUAUCAUGUGAAGAAAUAGCCUAAUAGUUUAUCAACAUUUUAAGCUAAACGUUCUGAUCUGUUGCAUCAGCCACAUUGUUGUAUUAAUGUGGAUCUCUCAUCCCACAACAGUCCCAGACUGUGUUUGGAAUAUUUAUUUCUCACACAGAAUAGAAUAGGUUGACUUUUCUACUGUGGGGAUAGUAGAUUGACAUAGUCUAGUGGUUUUGCUGUUUGUUAGGCCUACUCAUCUUGUUGGCUGACGAAAAGUAAAUGUGGACAAUUCUUCCAAUAUCUUCAAUAUGCACCUCGGAAUUUGAUAAGGACG